GAGCUAGGCGGAAGGAAGUGAUGGGGUCACAGUGUAGGGGAGUCAAGCUCUCAUCUCCCACAGCAGGAAACCAAUGGGCGUCUACAUAGGAAAAAGUGAGAAACCCGAAUAAAUAACAGGAGUUGGACCCAGGAUUAACUACAAAUGGAAAUUUAGAAAAGGGCACCAAAAAGACACUUGAUCCAGCAACGAUGAUGGCCCCUGGCUGAAAAUACCCCGUUUCCCUUAGUCACCCUCUCCAAGCAGUGGAAGCCGGAUAAGCUGAGCUUGAUUCUCACUCCCCCCGCUCCAACCUCAGAGGAAUGAUUGACGGGAGCAGGACUGCUGGUUUCUGCGGCGACACUAAUUGUACCUCCUGUCCACAGCCGUGAUGCUGCACUUUGGAGCAGAAAUCUGAACCGCUCAGCCGGUGGGGGUUCUGCCCACGCCUGCAGCAGCUAAGUCACAGCUACUCACCCUCAACUCCCCUCCUGCUUACCUGCCGCGGGAACCAUCACUCGGGUCCCAGGAGUCUCCUCUCCAGGAAUUUCCUCUCAUCUUCCAAAACUCCCAGGUGACUGGGAAGGAGGCAAUAUUGAACAAGACAGUCACACUGGAAAGAAACUAGGCGGCACCUGGCUAAUUCUGAAAAUGAGCAUUUAACUUGCAGAAACUGCAGCUGGGUCCUAGGAUGGUCAGAACACCCCAUUCAUUCACACACACACCCUCCUGCUGUUGCCUGGAGCCAGCAAUCCCUGGAGGGGAAAGCUCCCACAUCAACCAGCAAUCAGAAAAAUGCUUCCAUAGACAUGCCCGAUGACCAGUCUGUGAGAGGUAAAUUCUUCACUUGAGAGUCCCUCUUCCCUGAUGACUCAAGGUUUGUGUCCAGCAGACCGCUGAAGCUAACAAGGCCAGGCAGCAUGGAGGGAGGGAGUUGAGCUCAAGUAUAGAACUCUCCAAAUACCAAAGAGCCUUAAAAAUCAAAAUAAUGGACAGAAGCAAAAUGAUUCAUUUUUAAAAACAAAGCAAGCAAAACAAAACAAAAGACCCCACAAACAGCCCACGUACAUGAAAACACACACAGAAGAAAUAGAAACGACUAAGCUGACUCCCCCAUAAGCAGCAGGCUUGGGGUCACCCACCACAGAGAGAAGCACACUCUCCUAUGGGAGGAACUUGACAAUGUCUAACAAAACACUCAAUUUCGGAAGUUAAACCAGAAGGCUCUCCCACAGAUGCAUAGCAGCAAAUGCACGAGGCUGCUCACCUCAGUGCUGCUGUCGGGCAAAACACUGGACAUGGGCUGAAGAGAUGGUUCAGAGGCAAAGAGCACUGGCUGCUCUUCCAGAGGAUCCGGGCUUAAUACCCAGCACCUA